GACGAACGCUGGCGGCGUGCUUAACACAUGCAAGUCGAACGAAGAGCGAUGGAAGCUUGCUUCUAUCAAUCUUAGUGGCGCACGGGUGAGUAACGCGUAAUCAACCUGCCCUUCAGAGGGGGACAACAGUUGGAAACGACUGCUAAUACCGCAUACGAUCUAAUCUCGGCAUCGAGGAUAGAUGAAAGGUGGCCUCUACAUGUAAGCUAUCACUGAAGGAGGGGAUUGCGUCUGAUUAGCUAGUUGGAGGGGUAACGGCCCACCAAGGCGAUGAUCAGUAGCCGGUCUGAGAGGAUGAACGGCCACAUUGGGACUGAGACACGGCCCAGACUCCUACGGGAGGCAGCAGUGGGGAAUCUUCCGCAAUGGACGAAAGUCUGACGGAGCAACGCCGCGUGAGUGAUGAAGGCCUUCGGGUUGUAAAGCUCUGUUAAUCGGGACGAAAGGCCUUCUUGCGAAUAGUGAGAAGGAUUGACGGUACCGGAAUAGAAAGCCACGGCUAACUACGUG
rnacentral:rRNA from 1 species